GCCCGGGUGGCGGAAUUGGCAGACGCGCAAGCUUGAGGUGCUUGUGUCCGUAAGGACGUGCUGGUUCGACUCCAGUCUCGGGCA
rnacentral:tRNA from 1 species